UGCAAUGUAAUUUCUUGUUGAUUUACUACGACACUUCUUGCUUCCCGCGUCUUACUCUACAGAGUACACAACGCCGAGACACAACGAGAACAGAAAUUUUCGAAUUCUUUGAAUGGCAGAAGCACACUGACACUAAUCGAAGAACCCAUACUAAUAAACCCUAAUCCAUAUUACAGACCUUCUUCUUCUUCUUCUUCUUUAUUCUUUCUUUUCACUUUUCAUUAGUUUUUAUGUUCUGCUGUGUGCCACAGGGGACGGAGUUUCAUCGCUGCGGUGCACCGUACGAAGGGUGGAAGCGAGCGAUUACGAUGAAGACGGGAUUCCAUCGGUGGAGUUCUGAUGAUCAAAGAAACGUAAGUGAUGAUGAAUUGGACGGUCUUGAUGAGCGCAAAGUAGGAGUUGUCAUUGAUGAGCAACGAGGUUUUCGUGGCUUGGUCUCUUUCGAAGUUGCCUUGCCGCUUAUACCAACAUGGCACCCGAAGGAUAUGCUCCUCAGUCUCAACUAGGUUCAAGAAAUUGUGGGAAGUACAAUUUUUGGCCCCCAUUUCAUGCUGUACUAUCUGAAGGAUGAUUAUUGCUGUACUCUCUGAAGGAUGUUUAUUUGUACAGAAUCUGAAAGAUACAAAUGUUGUGUUGAAACAAACAAGCUAUAUUUAACGUAAGUUGCUGGUACUUCAGAAACUUUUCCGCCUUUUUCGGUAAAAUGAUCUUCAUUACUUUGUGGUUAGUUGUGGAUGGAUGGUAAAACUUCACCCAGUAAUAAUCCCGUUUCACUCUGUAAAAGUUUAGUAUUUGAUAAAAAGGACAGUAAUGUUUUUAAUAAUUUUUUUAA